UCGUACGCUUAAACUUGCAAA
rnacentral:piRNA from 1 species